GAUGAACGCUGGCGGCGUGCCUAAUACAUGCAAGUCGAGCGAAUGGAUUAAGAGCUUGCUCUUAUGAAGUUAGCGGCGGACGGGUGAGUAACACGUGGGUAACCUGCCCAUAAGACUGGGAUAACUCCGGGAAACCGGGGCUAAUACCGGAUAACAUUUUGAACCGCAUGGUUCGAAAUUGAAAGGCGGCUUCGGCUGUCACUUAUGGAUGGACCCGCGUCGCAUUAGCUAGUUGGUGAGGUAACGGCUCACCAAGGCAACGAUGCGUAGCCGACCUGAGAGAGUGAUCGGCCACACUGGGACUGAGACACGGCCCAGGCUCCUACGGGAGGCAGCAGUAGGGAAUCUUCCGCAAUGGACGAAAGUCUGACGGAGCAACGCCGCGUGAGUGACGAAGGCUUUCGGGUCGUAAAACUCUGUUGUUAGGGAAGAACAAGUGCUAGUUGAAUAAGCUGACACCUUGACGGUACCUAACCAGAAAGCCACGGCUAACUACGUGCCAGCCGCCGCGGUAA
rnacentral:rRNA from 1 species